UUCAUGGAGAGUUUGAUCCUGGCUCAGGACGAACGCUGGCGGCGUGCCUAAUACAUGCAAGUCGAGCGGACCGACGGGAGCUUGCUCCCUUAGGUCAGCGGCGGACGGGUGAGUAACAC
rnacentral:rRNA from 1 species